GUGAAUCAUCAAAUCUUUGAACGCAAAUUGCACUCUCCGGUUUUCCGGGGAAGUAGGCCUUUUUGGGGUUCUUUUUAAAAAAUAAUCUAGGCUGCUGCUUUGUUGUCGCUUCGGAAUUGGGUCAUCUUCCACCUUUCGGGGUUGUAAGCGACCUAAAAUUUUUCUUACGAUUUCUACGAACGUUUCUAAGAAUUUCUUUUACGUUCGCGACAUCGAAAUCAUAUUAGGGUCUACCGCCGCUUCUGGUUCGCUCCCAUAAUAUAGCAUCUAAGUACCUCAGACAGGUAA
rnacentral:misc_RNA from 1 species